AUAGCGUAUAUUAAAGUUGUUGCAGUUAAAAAGCUCGUAGUUGAAUUUUGGGCCUGGCUGGGUGGUCUUGCCGCAAGGUAAGCACUGCUCUGGUUGGGUCUUUCCUUCUGGGGAACCAGCGUGCUCUUAAUUGAGUGCGUUGGGGAUCCAGGACUUUUACUUUGAAAAAAUUAGAGUGUUUAAAGCAGGCUUACGCUUGAAUACAUUAGCAUGGAAUAAUAGAAUAGGACUUUGGUUCUAUUUUGUUGGUUUCUAGGACCGAAGUAAUGAUUAAUAGGGAUAGUUGGGGGCAUUAGUAUUUAAUUGUCAGAGGUGAAAUUCUUGGAUUUAUUAAAGACUAACUUCUG
rnacentral:rRNA from 1 species